rnacentral:rRNA from 1 species
GACGAACGCUGGCGGCGUGCUUAACACAUGCAAGUCGAACGAAGAGCGAUGGAAGCUUGCUUCUAUCAAUCUUAGUGGCGAACGGGUGAGUAACGCGUAAUCAACCUGCCCUUCAGAGGGGGACAACAGUUGGAAACGACUGCUAAUACCGCAUACGAUCUAAUCUCGGCAUCGAGGAUAGAUGAAAGGUGGCCUCUACAUGUAAGCUAUCACUGAAGGAGGGGAUUGCGUCUGAUUAGCUAGUUGGAGGGGUAACGGCCCACCAAGGCGAUGAUCAGUAGCCGGUCUGAGAGGAUGAACGGCCACAUUGGGACUGAGACACGGCCCAGACUCCUACGGGAGGCAGCAGUGGGGAACCUUCCGCAAUGGACGAAAGUCUGACGGAGCAACGCCGCGUGAGUGAUGACGGCCUUCGGGUUGUAAAGCUCUGUUAAUCGGGACGAAAGGCCUUCUUGCGAAUAGUGAGAAGGAUUGACGGUACCGGAAUAGAAAGCCACGGCUAACUACGUG